rnacentral:misc_RNA from 1 species
AAAGUCGUAACAAGGUUUCCGUAGGUGAACCUGCGGAAGGAUCAUUAAUGAAUAACUAUGGCAUUGGUUGUAGCUGGCUUCUAGGAGCACUGUGCACACCCGUCAUUUUUAUCUUUCCACCUGUGCACUUAAUGUAGGUCUGGAUAACUCUCGCUUAACACAAGCGGAUGCAAGGAUUGCCGUAUCGUAAGGCCCGGCUCUCUUUGAAUUUCCAGGUCUAUGUACCUUUACACACCCCAAUUGAAUGAUGAAGAAUGUAGUCAAUGGGCUUCUAGCCUAUAAAACAUAUACAACUUUCAGCAACGGAUCUCUUGGCUCUC